AAUGAACGUUGGCGGCGUGGAUUAGGCAUGCGAGUCGUGCGAGAACCGUAGCAAUACGGGGACAGCGGCGAAAGGGAGAGGAACACGUGGAUACCUACCCUCAGGUUCAGGAUAGCUAUGGGAAACUAUAGGUAAUACUGAGUAAUAUCUCCGGAUCAAAGGUGUGAUUCCGCCGGAGGAGGGGUCCGCGUCCUAUUAGCUAGUUGGUGAGGUAAUGGCUCACCAAGGCGAAGAUGGGUACGGGAUGUGAGAACAUGAUCCCGCUCAUUGGGACUGAGACACUGCCCAGACACCUACGGGUGGCUGCAGUCGAGAAUCUUCGGCAAUGGGGGAAACCCUGACCGAGCGACGCCGCGUGUGAGAUGAAGGCCUCGGUUGUAAUCACUGUCGUAGAGGAGGAAGUGUAGGUGGGUUCGUCCCACUUAUUUGACUAUUCUAGGAGGAAGGACGGGCGUAAGUUCGUGCCAGCAGCCGC
rnacentral:rRNA from 1 species